UACGGAGGGUGCAAGCGUUAUCCGGAUUCACUGGGUUUAAAGGGUGCGUAGGAGGGCAGGUAAGUCAGUGGUGAAAUCUCCAAGCUUAACUUGGAACUGCCGUUGAUACUAUCUGUCUUGAAUAUCGUGGAGGUGAGCGGAAUAUGUCAUGUAGCGGUGAAAUGCUUAGAUAUGACAUAGAACACCAAUUGCGAAGGCAGCUCACUACUCAAUCAUUGACUCUGAGGCACGAAAGCGUGGGGAUCAAACAGG
rnacentral:rRNA from 1 species